rnacentral:lncRNA from 1 species
AGAAGACGACUGCUAUGCCAAUGCCAUCAAGUCCAAAGAAUGGGUAGAGAUGGUGUUUGUCUAGCCCUUGACAAUUCGAACACGAUAAGUGUUAGUUUUAUUCAAAAACCCAAAUCGAUGAAUUUGCCUAGAAUGUGUAAACCUUUCCAAUAAAAAUUAUGUAUUGGAUUCUCGAAUCAAUAAGUUGUUUAUUCGUCUAUUUUUAUAUAAUUUCUAAUAAAUUAAUAAGUUUAUCCAACUCAAUCUGAAAGAACAAUCUAUAUGUUCGCUAAUAUUUUUAAUAUAAAAUAUUUAGAUGUGAAAAUUAAAAAAUGAUAAUUAUUUAAUAAAAAUAUAGCAUCUUUAUAUAUCUAAAAGUUGCAUAUUAUAAUUAAUUAAUUACUAUUAUGCAAAUCGAUGCUGAAAAGUUACUUAUUUAUGCGUAUAUUUGUUUAUUACAAAUAUAAUAUUAUCAAUAGAAAUAAAUUAGUUAUUUUUUAAAACCAGAACGUUUAGGGUUAGGAUUAGAAAUUUUUAACCCGAAAAUUUUUUAACCCGAUUAGCCAGCAUCCGAAUAACCCGAUAAGGCUAGCCCGAAACUUGAUGGAUUGGCCCGAUUGACAUCCGGCCGGACCGGCCCUAGGUGAAAAUUUCGCUCCCUCCAGGAUUCGAAUUCAAACGAGAAAGCCUAUUAAUGUGUUAUAUUGAUUUAUUUGAAGAAAUUAUUGACUUGUUCGCACACAUUCUCAAUGCUCACAAUAUUUAACAUUAUCAACAUAAACUUUAUCUCUCUCUAUAUAUAUAUAUGUAUAUAUGUUUAUAUAUUAAAAAUCAGCAUAAAACGAAUCUCGAGCCGUGCCAAGCAAGAACGCUACAAAACUACAGCUAGGUAAACCACAAAUCAUAACCGACCAAUAAAAUAAUUAAAGCUUUAAAACCCAUACUUUUAAGUAAAUAAACAAAGGAAGGGCUCGAGCUUAAACAAACCAACACGACCAAAAUAAGCACGUGAAAAAAGGUGAAAGCUCAAUAGUGCAAUGCCAUUAAAGGCCUAUAAUUAAUACCACCAGAUUUCUUCAAAUGAAACAGCAACCAUCUUUCGAGUUAUUAUUAAAAAAUAGUUUGAAUUUUAAAAAACUAUAAAUAUAGCAUGAACUCAUCUCGGUUUGAGUCAGAAUUCCGGCUAAUUGAUGGGUGACAUUGCUCGCCGGAAACUAACUUGGCAAUUAAAAUAAGCUCCUAAACGUCAAAUUUUACAACAGAUUAAAAUCUAAACUCUUAAGUGAAACAGUGACAUUUAUGAGCUGAUGUAGAUAAAAAGGUCUAUUAUAAUGGAGUAUAUUUUUUUUAAUUGCCAAAAUAGCUUUCGGCGAGAUACGUCAUCCUUCAAUUGGCCAAAAAAUUGACUCUGAUUAUAAACUGAGUAAUAGGGAUAAAUUCAGAAAAUAAUUUUAGUUUUUGUAAACUUAAACUAAAAUGUCGUUACAAAAUCAAACUUAGGACUAUUUUUUUGUAAUAAUUUUAUCCUAAAUUUUGACAUGUUCUAUAAAAAUAUCACGAUUUUCGAGAUACUUAUUAAAAAAAGGGCCUUUCAACUUUUUUUUUAAAAUAUCACGGAGGCGUUGAAUAUUUGACUUUGCGACGCUGGACUCAAAAUUUAACAUCAGCUCAAAAUUAGAUCCAAGUAAUGUUAAUUCUAAGUCAGAAAUUUAAUGAUCUGUCCGUCCACGAAAAGUAUGACAGCUUUGCUAUUUUUGGUGUUUAUUAAAAGUAUCACUCAUUUCAAAUAAUGGUGAGAUCCUUUCUCCACUAUGGAUGCAUUCUCGAUGAAAAAUGGUGGAAUACAUAUAUUUUUUCCUUUUUUCCACUCUUUAAUUUUCACACGUUCUCUUUGUUGAAAUUUUUUCUUCACAUGUAGUAUGAGAAGAAAACAUCGUUGAUUGAUUGUUACAUGAAGCAAUACGGCAUGUCGGAUGAGGAAGUUCGUAGUGAACUUCGACAGCAAGUGAGGAACGCGUGGAAGGAUACGAAUCAAGAAUGCCUGGAGCCGAGGCCGGCGUCGAUGCCAAUCCUUACGCGCAUUCUCAAUCUCGAUCGCGGUAUCAACCUUCUCUAUGAAGACGACGAUUGCUAUGCCAAUGCCAUCAAGUCCAAAGAAUGGGUAAAGAUAAUGUUUGUCGAGCCCGUGACAAUGUGAAGACGAUAAGUGUUAGUUUUAUUCAAAAACCCAAAUCGAUGAAUUUGCCUAGAAUUUGUAAACCUUUCCAAUAAAAAUUAUGUAUUAGAUUCUCGAAUCAAUAAAGUACUUGCACGGAACGUACAAAGUAAUUAAAUCUUUGAUUUACUCCCUCUGUCCCAUAUAUAUAUAUAGUCUUGUUUUUCUUUUUCGGAUGUCCAAUUUAUAUAGGCCUAUUUCUAUAAAAAGUAAUGUUUUUUUUAUUCAUUUACUAUUGUAUCCCUAUUUAAUUCUUUAAUUUACUCCAACUUUAAUAUAUCAUUG